AAAUUGAAGAGUUUGAUCAUGGCUCAGAUUGAACGCUGGCGGCAGGCCUAACACAUGCAAGUCGAACGGUAACAGGAAGCAGCUUGCUGCUUUGCUGACGAGUGGCGGACGGGUGAGUAAUGUCUGGGAAACUGCCCGAUGGAGGGGGAUAACUACUGGAAACGGUAGCUAAUACCGCAUAACGUCGCAAGACCAAAGAGGGGGACCUUAGGGCCUCUUGCCAUCGGAUGUGCCCAGAUGGGAUUAGCUAGUAGGUGGGGUAAUGGCUCACCUAGGCGACGAUCCCUAGCUGGUCUGAGAGGAUGACCAGCCACACUGGAACUGAGACACGGUCCAGACUCCUACGGGAGGCAGCAGUGGGGA
rnacentral:rRNA from 1 species